GACGAACGCUGGCGGCGUGCUUAACACAUGCAAGUCGAACGAGACGAUUGAAAGCUUGCUUUUGAAAGUCGAGUGGCAAACGGGUGAGUAACGCGUAGGCAACCUGCCUUCGAGAUGGGGACAACAGUCCAAAAGGACUGCUAAUACCGAAUGUUGUGACGAAACCACAUGGAUUCGUCAUUAAAGAUGGCCUCUACUUGUAAGCGUAUCGCUCGAAGAUGGGCCUGCGUCUGAUUAGCUGGUUGGUGGGGCAACGGCCGUACCAAGGCGACGAUCAGUAGCCGGUACUGAGAGGAUGAACGGCCACAUUGGGACUGAGACA
rnacentral:rRNA from 1 species